UACAGAGGGGGCAAGCGUUGUUCGGAAUUACUGGGCGUAAAGGGCGCGUAGGCGGCCUUCUAAGUCGAACGUGAAAUCCCCGGGCUCAACCCGGGAACUGCGUCCGAUACUGGGAGGCUUGAAUCCGGGAGAGGGAUGCGGAAUUCCAGGUGUAGCGGUGAAAUGCGUAGAUAUCUGGAGGAACACCGGUGGCGAAGGCGGCAUCCUGGACCGGCAUUGACGCUGAGGCGCGAAAGCCAGGGGAGCAAACAGG
rnacentral:rRNA from 1 species